UACGUAGGGUGCAAGCGUUAACCGGAAUUACUGGGCGUAAAGCGUGCGCAGGCGGUUAUGUAAGACAGAUGUGAAAUCCCCGGGCUCAACCUGGGAACUGCAUUUGUGACUGCACAGCUGGAGUGCGGCAGAGGGGGAUGGAAUUCCGCGUGUAGCAGUGAAAUGCGUAGAUAUGCGGAGGAACACCGAUGGCGAAGGCAAUCCCCUGGGCCUGCACUGACGCUCAUGCACGAAAGCGUGGGGAGCAAACAGG
rnacentral:rRNA from 1 species